CCUACGGGAGGCAGCAGUGGGGAAUUUUGGACAAUGGGGGCAACCCUGAUCCAGCGAUGCCGCGUGAGUGAAGAAGGCCUUCGGGUCGUAAAGCUCUUUAGGUUGGGAAGAAGUUUGUGUGGGGAUAAUCCAUGCAGAUUGACGGUACCGACAGAAUAAGCACCGGCAAACUCUGUGCCAGCAGCCGCGGUAAUAAU
rnacentral:rRNA from 1 species